rnacentral:lncRNA from 1 species
GGAGACUUGACUCACAGGGUCCCUCCAUAAGAAACCCAGCUGAGUACACCUAAUCACUACAGAGUAUUCUGUUCUUGCUUCUGCCCUUUAUCACUCCAUAAAAAUCUAACAUCAUACCAUGUUGGAUUCCUCAAACAUGAGUAACUCCAGCACAUAAGUGAAAAAUUCAGGAAGAGGUGGGUUCACGGCCAGUAUGAGCUACAUACCAAGGCACUGCUUCACAAUACAAUCAAAAGUAAACUCUACAAUGAGAUCCCCACUGUUAGUGACAGCCCUACUCGAAGCUAUUUCCUCCUCCAAUUCAACAGGCUCUUCCCAAUAAGGUCCACUGAAGGCUUGUCUAAGAACAUUUGAGCAAUGUGUCAGAAGCCGAUGCCUCAUUUUUCUCUCUUCCUUCAGGAUGGCAACUUUAAUGAGGACAAACCCCAGGAAAAUCUCUGAUAACUCCCAACAACCUGUUCAUGUUCGGGUUUACCACUAUGAAGAAUCCUAUGGCUAAGCAAGUAUUCAGGCAUCAAGUACAAAGGACAAGCACAUACGAAUGCUACAUUGCCAAGAAAUUGUUCUAUCCUCCUGAAGAACCCAGUGGCACAGGCUUGAGGGGUACCCAGGCUGGUCUUGGCAGCCCUGCUCUGCAUGGAGCCAUCUAGUCACUUAUUCUAGCAGCAGAAUCAGUUGUCACCAGUGGGAAGCUAAGUGUUUCUGUUUCCUGUUUAAAGGCAUGAGUGAUGUAACUAGAAAAGACAGGGACUCAAAUAAAGCCUAGAAUUAGAAUUGUCCUCUGUCUUUGCCUUUUAUUACAUUCUAGUCAUUAGCAACUUAGCUUAGUGGUAAGGUAAAGGCUCUGCAAAGUGAAACUCCUGACUUCGAACAGGUAUGAUGAUCAUUAUAUAAUCUAGAUUGAAGGAUUGGGCACAGUACCUACAUCAGGCACCCAUCCCAUCUAAUCCAAAGCCCCAAGAAGGCAGAAGUAAUGAUUGUUUCAUCUUCUGUGUGAUUGAUGAUCAAUAAUAGGCCUAUCCAUGGAUAUAUUUGGGACUAAUUCUGGUCAAACAAUAAAAUAUGACCUAUCACUCUCUCUCUCUCUGAAUGAAUAAUUUGCUGGCUAUGAUGGUACAUGUCCAGAAAGCCUGCUCUUAGCAGGAAGAGGCAGGAGGACUGAAAAGAGUUUUAGGCCAGCCAGGGUUAUAUAAUGAUACCCUGUCUCAAAAACAAAACUACAACAAAAAAUUAAUGCAUAAUCUAAUCAGGUAGGGGUAUAGGAAAUGGGUUGUUUUUAAAUAUGGCCCUCAAAAAUUCCCACAUUUCACCUGUGUUUGUAUAUAAAAAUAAGAAGAUAUUUGCAGUCUGAAAGAUGCUUCAAUGGGGACAGUAUGUUUCUUCCUGUCUGGCAAAUGGAAGGGUCUCAUUGUACAGCAUGUUUUCAUCAUCUAUGCAAACAUCAUUUUUGUACUGCUUUUUCCAGGUCUCUUAAUAUUGUUUUAUUCUGUCCAGUACCCUGAGUUUCCAUUAAUCUCAUAAAAAUGCCCUUGUCCCUCUAAAUUGUGUUAUUUUGCUCUCAGCUCUCCGUCAUGGCUAGGUCUUCAGAUGAUUUUUUUUUUUACCUCGCCCAAUCUGCAGUAGCAAGCUGAGAAUAUAAAUUAAGUUUACUUUUUGAAAACAGCUACAACAAAAUAGCUCAGAACACAGGAAAUAACAAUCUUAUAAGAGUAUCUUGAAGAACAAGACAGAAUGUAGCCCAGAUUUCAGAAAUGCCAGAGUCCAGAAAUGUUAAACAAUCAGGAAUCAUAAGAAUACUACCUUUGUGAGCUUUGCAAGCCAGAUUCCCAGGACCUCUAAUUAGCAGGAGAGAAUUUAGCUGUCGACAACUCUGACUUUAUCUGGCCUGACUCUGGUCGUGUAGCAUCUGGUUUCUUCUUUAGUCCCACAUCCCACACUCUCACAUCAGACAUUCCAAUUGGUUCUACAGUGAUCUGAGCACAUUCACACUGAACUGUGAAACUUCACAAUAAAUAACAGAUUCAUGUGUUUUGUUAAUUAUUGCAGAGUGUACAUGCUGAGUUUCAGUGCAAUUCUUGUCUUGAAAACUGUGCAAAUAUGUUUAUGUACGAACAUGGCUGCUGAAAGUAUCCCCUCAUGGGUUGAGUCUGGGAUUCAGUUAAGAAUGCCCUUGUGCUGGAGAAACCCACAGAAAUGCCUGACCUGAACAAGGGGUUACUCAUGGACCUCACACUGAUAGCUAGGAAACCAGCAUAGGACUGUUCCAGACAGCCUGAGCGAGGAUAUCAGUUUGGAGGUCUGGGCAAUCUAUGGGGCCUCUGGUAGUGGAUCAGUAUUUAUCCCUAGUACAUGAAUGGACUUUGGGAGCUCACUCCACAUAGAGGGAUACUCUCUCAGCCUAGACACACUGGGGAGGGUCUAGGCACUGCUCCAAAUGAUAUGACAGACUUUAAAGUUCCCCCAUCGAAGGCCUCACCCUCUCUGGGGAGCAGAAAGGGGUUGAGAUAGGUGGUGGGGAGGCAGGGGAGGAGUGAAGGGAGAGGGAACUGGGAUUUACAUGUAAAAGAAGCUUGUUUCUAAUUUAAAACUGGUCUAAUUACUAUUAUAAAAAUAAAAUAAAAUAAAAUAAAGAAUGCUCUUGUGAGGUUAGCUGGCUCUCCAAGAUAUUCCCAUUGUACAUACUUCAUAAUCUGUCUCUGAGCUUCCUUUCUAAUUUCCAAUAACAAUAUCUUGUCCCAUAAUAACAGCAGCUUCUUUCAGUACACAAGCCUUUGUAGUUUCUAUCCUGGCCAGAAUUCACAUUUGCCUUUUACACAGUGACACAGUCUCCUCUUUACUCGUAGAACAAAUAACUACAGGAGGCUUAUAGACUUACAUCUAGUUAUCUCCUUCAUAGAGAGCACCAUAAUCUAUAAGCAUCCUUUCUAUGAAUUUGCUUUUUCUUGCCAUUGUCUCUCUUCCUAUCUUGGUCUCUGCCCCUGCCCUAAGGAUACAGGUUCCACACACACUCAUGUGGGAAGACACUAAGAUCUCCCCACGGCUGUUUUGUCUGGAGCAAUUACAGAAGCAUGAGACCAAAAAGUCAGAAUUCCUCCUGCAUUUACAACUGAGAACUUCCACUUGUGGCAAUCAUUAGGUCAAUAGCUUUCUCUUUCCUCAUUAUGAAUAAAAAAUGAAAGACAGCAUUUAUGAUACUUGAUACUUUUCUAUGGAAAAGUAAGUAAGAAAUGUAAGUAAGAAAUGAUAUGCUACGUGAGAUUGUUAGCAGUUAGAAGGUGAUAUAUUAAUGUCAUUCAUAGCAUAGCCCUUAGCAGUAGUAACUGACAUUCUUAGUAAAAACUAUGUCUGUAUGCCUGGAGUCAAGGCUGAAACUGUCUUGAGCUGAUAUUACGGAAUUUGUACAGUUACCAUAGAAUAACACAUCAGCUCUCCAUGUAUUUCCAGAAGACAACUGGACCACAGAAAUGGAGGGAUUUACCGUAGUUUCCUAGCAAAGUUUCCACAGACUGUUGCCAGUGAAGGGGACUACUGUGCAAUUACCUUGGCUGUCUCCAUUUUCCACAUGGCCCUUCUUUCCACCUUUGUUCAUAUCUGUCACCUUCAGUUCACAGUUUCCACCUGCAAACAUUUUCCUUCCUUGGCAGUGUAUUGGACUUCCCAAGGGCCUUUGUUCCUUAGCAGGAUUACGUGCUGGGAGUCUGAGGGGAUGGACUAAGGAAGGUGAGCCUGCUUGUGAAUUGGGAGUUUGGGAAAAGAGAAUAGGAGGAAAAGACAGCUUUUGUUGUUGUUGUUGUUGCCUGGUUGUUUUUCCCCAAGGAAGAGAGAGAGAGAGGAUGGGUCAGUGGCAAACAGGAAGACAGGACACUGAUAUCUAUCAACUAGGAAAGAAAGGAGUCAUGGGAGCUCUCUACUUUCAGUCCUUCCACUCAGUUCCUUUUCACUUUUCAUUAAUAAACCUGUGUUCACUCUCUUUUUCUUAAUGGAUGGAAAAAUAAAAAACAAAGUGACUAAUAAUCAUUCUUGAACUCAAAAGUACGUUUUCUGAGAAAUUGUGACGAACUAAAUUCAAAAAGACUGUUUUACCUAUGUCUUACAGAGAUAACAAAAGUAUGACUUAACGUCAAUGAUCUGUUGAGCAUUGUGCCAAGAGUUUUUCAAAUAUUUAUGGUCAAUUUUGUUAUAUGUAUAUUGCUACUCUUGUUUAGAUAUUGUAUUUAUACAGCUCACUUAAAAAUGUAACAUAUAAUUAGAUACACAUUACAGUCACCUAUAAU